rnacentral:lncRNA from 1 species
UGUUACAGGAAAGGUUAAUCGACAGUUUUUUUUAUUAAAUUUGUUUUUAAUUCCCAGUAAAAAUUAAAUGGGUCAAAGUGUAAAUUUUCAUGUCAGAUUUUUAUUUUUUUAAUUGAAAAUGUUUUUUCGACGUUAGCAAAAUGCCAUGUGUGUGGCUAGGUGGCGCGUUUUGGUGAAUUUUUUCUAUCAUGUCAUCAGUUGUUAACAAUCAAACCAGUCAAUGAUAGUUUUUGUAAAUAGAAGGGUCUAAUUGACUUUUUUAAGGGAUUGAGGACUCAAGGUUCCAAUUGAUUUUUUUGAUUUUUUUUACUGAGGCUUUUUUAGACUCAUUAGCCUUAUUAUAAUAAAUAC